CCUCAUGUAAAUAAAAAAUCAUUUAUUGAUAUAUUUUUCUUUUUUAGUAGAUAUGUUAAUGCUGUGUUGACAUGGCCUUAAUGGUAUACUAAUGUCAGCUUUUUUUAAGAUACUAUGGAGUUGGUGUCCAUUUGUCCCCGUGGUCCAGGAAGUGGAGAGGGGCAGAACCUUCCUGCUCUUUUAGGAAAUCAGCUGUGGAGAUUUUUGGAGAAUCUUGCCUUUUCUUUAGUGAUAGGGAAAAUAAAAACUCUCCAAACGGGGAGAGGACCUGGGAGUUAUGUCAAUAAGAUCCAGAUCUACGCCACUCAUAAGGGCAGAGACAGCUUCUAGCCUCCAUCCAGUGGACAGAGUUCUGCACCUAUCUGACUCUGGACAUAAAUGUGACUUCAAUGGGAGCGCAGAGCACAGAGGAGCAGAAGUAGAGCAGGAGAAUCCAGCCCAUUGUAUGCCAUGUUCCCUUAAACUACUUGAACCUCAGAGAAAUCAUGACCCAGCAGAAAGAAGGCAUGGGAUUGGAUGGAGCUGCAAGAUCACUUGCAGACAAAUGUGCUGUUCCAUUCCUUCUAAGAGCACAACUGGAAACUACUAAAGAUAAAAGAUAGCCUGCUAUGUAAACUUAAAAUAAAUUUAAAAAAAAUUUUUUAAAUAAAUUUUAA
rnacentral:lncRNA from 1 species